GUCCUGCGCGGUUGAUUACCAACGUGCUUGAGUUGGCAUUCCAAAAGAAGUUUCUUUCGGUUGCUCCUGGGAAAACUCAUGUUGCAAUUUCAGAGCGUUGAAGUGUGCUAAUAGUGGAGUCUGUUCCAUGUGCGUGGAAGGGAUGAUUGUGACACAUGGUCCUGUACAAGAAAAAAGGAAAAAGAUCUUCAAGUGAGCAAGUAGUUUGUGCACACCUUAAUACAGAAGCAGAAACACCAGGAAACCAAGCCCUAUCCAAGAAUCUGGUUCUGCUAAGGAAGCCUCUGGCUUGUCUUCUGGGGAGUGUUCAGGAAUCAUUUUGAUGAAUUCCAAUUAAGAGUCUUUUUGACACCAGGGGAUGCAAAGGUCAAAGGAUGCCCUGAGCAGCACAUAACAGACUACAUGGAGCACAGAUAAAGUGAGCACAACGAGACUUGCACAGUACACACAGCGUGUUCCUUAUCUACAGGAUGAGACGAGGCUGUUUUAAUAACUACCAUGAUGAAGAUGGAGAUGAACUUAUA